AUUGAACGCUCGCGGGAUGCUUUACACAUGCAAGUCGAACGGCAGCGCGGACUUCGGUCUGGCGGCGAGUGGCGAACGGGUGAGUAAUGUAUCGGAACGUGCCCAGUAGCGGGGGAUAACUACGCGAAAGCGUAGCUAAUACCGCAUACGCCCUACGGGGGAAAGCAGGGGAUCGUAAGACCUUGCACUAUUGGAGCGGCCGAUAUCGGAUUAGCUAGUUGGUGAGGUAACGGCUCACCAAGGCGACGAUCCGUAGCUGGUUUGAGAGGACGACCAGCCACACUGGGACUGAGACACGGCCCAGACUCCUACGGGAGGCAGCAGUGGGGAAUUGUGGACAAUGGGGGCAACCCUGAUCCAGCCAUCCCGCGUGUGCGAUGAAGGCCUUCGGGUUGUAAAGCACUUUUGGCAGGAAAGAAACGUCGCGGGCUAAUACCCCGUGGAACUGACGGUACCUGCAGAAUAAGCACCGGCUAACUACGUG
rnacentral:rRNA from 1 species